AUGGCGACGGCGGAGGAAGGCGAGGGAGGAGAGGUACAGCCACCAGGAUUAGGGAGGGGGAGGUGUCCAAGAUUCCGGCGAUCUGAGGCGACCCGCGACAUGGCCGGGGGCGGCGGCGUUGGGGGGAAGGAGGAUGGCGGCACGGAGCCCCCGCUCCUGUUCGUCCUCGCUCUCCCCGCAACGGCGCUCCCCGCCGUCGUCUCCCGCCUGGAGGCCGCCGUCCCGCGGAAGGCGCGCAGCUACCUCCCCCGCAACGUCCCGUCGGCCUGGUGGUCACUCAGGAUCCCCUUCAUCCAGCCGCUGCCGCCGGCUGGGGACCCGGCAAACGAAGAAGAGGGGAGAAGGUUCCCCCGCCCCCAGCGCGUGCAGGUGGCUCCGUCUCUCGAUCCAGGCACGGCCGAUAAGCCGCCCAAGAGACUGAAGAGGUGCCUGCACUGCAAGGCGGUGGAGACGCCGCAGCGGAGGUCAGGGCCGAUGGGGCGGGGUACCCUCUGCAACGCCUGCGGAGUAUGGUACAGUAAGAACGGGACGCUGCCGGAGCACCGUCCGGUGGCAAGCCCAAUCGUCGAUUCGCCGCUGGAGAACCCGAUCUGGGAGCCCGAGGUGCCUGGGGCCAUCUACCUGGUCAGAAAGUCGGCCACGGAGAGGAUGCCUCCCAGGACAGAAGCCGCGCCAGCGCCAGCGCCACGGCCGGGGACGAGCUGCUUGCACUGCGGGUCGUCGGAGCCACCUUUGUGGAUAGAAGGGUCGAUGGGGCGGAGGGAGGUCUGCACCGCCUGCGGCAUGAGGUACAAGAAAGGGAGGUUGCUGCCGGAGUGCCGUCCAGCAGAGUGCUCAGUAACGGAUUCCCGGCAGGAGAGCCCAGUCAUCAACUCCCCGCCAGAGAGUCCCAUCUGGGAGCCUGAGGCGCCUUCGUCCGUGCACCUGCCAAGAAAGCCUUCAAAGAAGAAGAAGAGGAGGCGGCCUAGAAGCGAAGCCCCUUCGGCGCCAUGGCCGGCAAAUAAGGGGAAGAGGUGCCAGCACUGUGGGUCGUCAGAGACGCCACAGUGGAGGGAGGGGCCAAAGGGGCGAGCCACGCUGUGCAACGCGUGUGGCGUGCGGUACAGGCAGGGGAGGCUACUGCCGGAGUACCGGCCCGUGGCGAGCCCUACAUUUGUGCCAACAAAGCAUGCCAAUACCCACCGCAAGGUGCUCCAGUUGCAUCGAACCAGGCAAAGCAACGACGAGCAUCCAUCACCGUUGCCUGCCGACAGCGUCACCAACCUGCCCCCAAUCCGCAACGAGCUCCCGACCACCAGCACGGCAGGUCUCGCCAGUGAGGACCCGACCGAUGCACCGGGCUACACCGACAACCCAAUCAACGUGCCGAGCUCACUGGACUCGCUGCUGCUCGACGGGCCGUCAGCACCGCUCAUCGUAGAGAGUGAAGAUUUUGCGAUUAGCUAG
rnacentral:rRNA from 1 species